rnacentral:lncRNA from 1 species
GCCACCGACAGCCAUGGCUCGUCGGAGCUCUGCCCGACAGUGCGCGGCCCAAAUCAAUAAUCAGAUUUAGAAGCCAAACACUUACAACCAAUACCUCCACCAAAGUCAAAACCUCGAAAUUGGCACGCACCUCAAGCCAAUCAUGUCAGCUCUAAGCAUUAUUCCACGACAUCAAACAAAAUCCUCGCUCCGAUCUUCAUCGUCGAACCGCUUUUGCCCUCUGUUAACCUUAGGGUUCCCC